GAUGAACGCUGGCGGCGUGCCUAAUACAUGCAAGUCGAGCGAAUGGAUUAAGAGCUUGCUCUUAUAAAGUUAGCGGCGGACGGGUGAGUAACACGUGGGUAACCUGCCCAUAAGACUGGGAUAACUCCGGGAAACCGGGGCUAAUACCGGAUAACAUUUUGAACCGCAUGGUUCGAAAUUGAAAGGCGGCUUCGGCUGUCACUUAUGGAUGGACCCGCGUCGCAUUAGCUAGUUGGUGAGGUAACGGCUCACAAAGGCAACGAUGCGUAGCCGACCUGAGAGGGUGAGCGGCCACACUGGGACUGAGACACGGCCCAGACUCCUACGGGAGGCAGCAGUAGGGAAUCUUCCGCAAUGGACGAAAGUCUGACGGAGCAACGCCGCUUGAGUGAUGAAGGCUUUCGGGUCGUAAAACUCUGUUGUUAGGGAAGAACAAGUGCUAGUUGAAUAAGCUUGCACCUUGACGGUACCUAACCAGAAAGCCACGGCUAACUACGUGCCAGCCGCCGCAGUAA
rnacentral:rRNA from 1 species